rnacentral:rRNA from 1 species
GGUGAACGCUAGCUACAGGCUUAACACAUGCAAGUCGAGGGGCGAGCAUGGUCUUAGCUUGCUAAGGCCGAUGGCGACCGGCGCACGGGUGAGUAAACACGUAUCCAACCUGCCGUCUACUCUUGGACAGCCUUCUGAAAGGAAGAUUAAUACAAGAUGGCAUCAUGAGUUCACAUGUUCACAUGAUUAAAGGUAUUCCGGUAGACGAUGGGGAUGCGUUCCAUUAGAUAGUAGGCGGGGUAACGGCCCACCUAGUCUUCGAUGGAUAGGGGUUCUGAGAGGAAGGUCCCCCACAUUGGAACUGAGACACGGUCCAAAACUCCUACGGGAGGCAGCAGUGAGGAAUAUUGGUCAAUGGGCGCAGGCCUGAACCAGCCAAGUAGCGUGAAGGAUGACUGCCCUAUGGGUUGUAAACUUCUUUUAAUAAAGGGAAUAAAGUCGGGUAUGUAUACCCCGUUUUGCAUGUACUUUUAUGAAAUAAAAGGGAUCGGCUAACUCCGU